GAUGAACGCUGGCGGCGUGCAUAACACAUGCAAGUCGAACGAUGAAACUUAGUCGACUUGUUCGGAAAGACACAAAGCGGAGUAGUGUCGAACGGGGGAGUAACUCACGAGUAACCAGCCUUACUCAUGGGGAUAGCCUUCUGAAAAGAAGAAUAAUACCCCAUAAAACCAUGAAAGCGCAUGCUAGAAUGGUUAGUGGGGUAGCGGUGUAAGAUGGAGUUGCGUCUUAUUUGCUAGUUGGUGAGAUAAAAGCUCACUAAGGCAACGAUCAGUCCCCGGCUUGAGAGAGUGUACGGCCACAUUGGGACUGCGACACGGCCCAGACUCCUACGGGAGGCAGCAGUGGGGAUUUUGGCACAAGGGGGGAAGCCCUGAUGCGGCGACGCCGCGUUAUUGAGAAGGCCUUCGGGUUGUAAAACUCUUUUGUACAGGAAGAAAAUGACAGUACUAUACGAAUAAGCUCCGGCUAAUUACGUG
rnacentral:rRNA from 1 species